rnacentral:rRNA from 1 species
UACAGAGGGUGCAAGCGUUAAUCGGAAUUACUGGGCGUAAAGCGUGCGCAGGCGGUUCGUUGUGUCGGUGGUGAAAUCCCCGGGCUUAACCUGGGAACUGCAUUUGUGACUGCAUCGCUGGAGUGCGGCAGAGGGGGAUGGAAUUCCGCGUGUAGCAGUGAAAUGCGUAGAUAUGCGGAGGAACACCGAUGGCGAAGGCAAUCCCCUGGGCCUGCACUGACGCUCAUGCACGAAAGCGUGGGGAGCAAACAGG